rnacentral:lncRNA from 1 species
GGUGGGCACUACGUGGUUCUUCAAGGAAAGGUAGCUGCUGGGAAGCUUGACGGCCUUAGUUUAAUCUCUGGGACCCACAUAGUAGAAGAGAAGCCAACUCCUUCAGGUUGCCUCUGACCUUCAUACACACACUGUAGCAUAUAUAAUGCCCCCACUACCACCAAGACCAAUUGAAAUAAACGAUGGGACUAGACAACUAGAUCAAUAGUUAAGAGGAGUUUUUCUUGCAGACCCAUAUUCAGUUCCCAGCACCUAUAUUAGGUGGUUCAGAACUAUCCAGUAAAUCCAGGGGAUGCAACAUAUCUAGCCUCCAUCAGCACCUGCAUACACCUUCACAUACCGACCCACAGACAUGCAGAUAUACGUAACUAAAAAUAAAAUAAAUCUUAAAAAAUCACAAGGACUGAGUGAACAGAAACUUAGCAUGUUUCAACAAUAUGUUGAGGCAUACCUAAAAUACAGCAAAUAUGAAUAGCAUCAAUAAAAGUUUAUUACUUAGGACAAGGGAGGUGAUAUGCCCUUAUUUCUGCAUUUUUAAAAACCAGAGUUAUUGGGCUGGCGAGAUGGCUCAGCAGGUAAGAGCACCGACUGCUCUUCCAAAGGUCCUUAGUUAAAUCCCAGCAACCACAUGGUGGCUCACAACCACCUGUAAUGAGAUCUGACACCCUCUUCUGGUGUGUCUGAAGACAGCUACAGUGUACUUAUGUAUAAUAAUAAAUAAAAUCUAAAAGGAAAAAAACAGAGUUUUAAUGCUGCAUAUGUCUUAAUAUACUACUCUUUAAGAUGAAUCGAGGAUGUGCUCAGAAAAUGGGAUCUCAAGUCUCCUCUAUCUUAAAUGUUUGAAGAAACUUGAGUUAUCUGGAAAAAGAUAAGACUUGGGCAAUUUAUAAGCAUGGAUGUAGAUUUACUUCCAUGACUUUGCAAGGGGUAUUCUAAAGGGAAAUUAAUCUUCAUUUAUUAGUAAUCUUAAUUCAAAUUCAUGACUGAGGAAAAAUUACUGUACAAUGACGAAUUAUGUCUAGCAGUAUUUUUCCAAGGCAAUCUUGUAGUGAUGAGCCUACCUGAUGAGCCUACAUUCUUCUGAGAGAAUUUGAACAUAUUAAGUAAAUUAUUUGCAGUUGAAGCAAAAGACUCCUGAGAUCUCUUACUGAUUAUCAAAAGGACUUUAUGUUGUAUCAUUUUUUCCUUAUGAAGCUAUUUCAUCUUAAUAGUACUUUACAUUGCCAUGGUUAGUUAACAAAGUGCUUUCUUAAGAAUGAUCUAAAUUUUGAGUGGAAUAAUAACCUCUUGAGUAGACAGGACAAGCAAUCCCCAUUUGAACAGAGAAAAUGAUAAGUAUAGGAUAAGUCCAAUUUCCCCAAAUCAUAAGACUUAUGAGUGCCAGGUCUUUACAUAGUCCAAGUUCAGUGCUAUUCCUGUUGUACCAGUUUGCUUUAGAAGUAAAUUCACAGUUGAGAUGGUUGUUUUGCCUACAUCAAAGCUUACAAGGAGCUAAGGGUUCUGAAAUUCUAUCCCAUGGAAAAUAUAAGUGUGCCUCCAAUUAUACCAAGAGUUCUAAAAUCCAAGUGAUAGAGCAAGGUAACUACAAUGACUAGAUGAUGGCAUUCACUAAGAGCAAAUGCAGGAGAGGUAGCAGGUUGGCUGGCCACAGAUGAUGGGAUGACAUCUGGACAUAAUAAAAAGUAACUGACGCUGGCUGUUUAUGGAAUGCCAGAUACUCAGCUUAGGUUUUCAUGGAAUUUAUCUUUCAUCUUCAUAAACCUCGGGAUAAUACUCUCUAAAUUGUCACUUUCCAUGUACAGAAAAUAAACCUUAUGUGAUUUAAAUAGCUCGCCCAAGGCUUCACCAUUAGUAGUAUGAGAAUAGGAAUUUAAAUCUACAUACUUGACUCUAACUCAGUGUUCUUAAGAACUAGUUUAAGGCUUCCUUGGAGUCCCUAGAUUGGAUUAAAAACAAUCAGUAGUCAGUUAAAUAAAAUGUAUACCUUUUAGAAGAAAGGUGUGUCUUGGAGAUAGUUUAGAUGCCCUUACCACAGAAUUGUGGAUAUUGUAGCUUCUGAAAGUGACUCAGGAAAUUAAGAUUUUAUUUACAUGGAACCCCCUCCAUUUCCCUGCAUUCUGGCAUCAAUUUUACCCUUUGUGUUAUUGUAUAGACAACCCGUAGCCUAAGAAUGUAGGUGCCCUUGGUUUUAGUUAGUAGACCUUUCAGGAUGAAAAAUAUGCUUACAUUUAUCUCCAGGUCAGUACCUAGAGCAUGAAUAAAUGAACAACGAAGAAUGGAUGAGUGAAUGGUAAAUAGAGCUAGAUAGCAGGAAUUCACCUUCAGAGAAUCUGCCUUAUGUGAUAUUGGGGGCUACCUUUUAUUGCUUUCCAGUUUAUAAUGUUCCAAAAAUUGCUAACUUAGAUCCUGGUAUAUUUGUUGAAUCAACAAUGAGUUAGAGGGCUUUUGUCCACUGAGGGAGUAAAAGAAGACCCUUUAUAUUCCUGGAUUACCUCGUUUUAAGUUUCUUUUUUCUUUGAGACAUCGGCUUACUAUAAAGCUCAGGCUGGUCUCAAAUUUACAGACCCCCCCCCCUUCCCAAGAUCCCAGGUUCUGAAAUUAUAGGCAUGGUUCAUUACUCCCUACUGGUUUUAUUUUUCAUUUAUACAAAUAAUACAUUUUUAUUAUAAAUACUGUAGAUACAUUACAAAAAUCAAAUAAGCAAAAUAAAAGUCGAAGACAUCUGAAAUUCUGCCAUUCAGAGAUAGCCACUGUUAACAUUUUGAUGUAUAUUCUUUCAGAGUGUUUUCCCAUGCAAAUAUAUACAUGUUUUGAUGUAUAUAUUUGUUUAAAAUGGGUUUGUUAUAAUCCAUAUUGUUUUGUAAACUGCUUUUUCACUUAUUAUAUGUGACUGUCUUUCCAUGUCAAUAAAUUUACAUCUUUAUCAUCAUGUUAAUGACCACAUAGUAUUCCAUUAUAUGGAUGCAUCAAACUAUAUUUAACUAGUUCUCUAUUGUUAGGAAUUUAGGUUUCCAAUUUGGAGUUCUUUUUGGAAAAAAAUGAUGGUGAGCAUCUUGUAUAUACAUCUUUGUAUAUUUGUCUAUUUUAACAGAAGUAGAAUGGAUGGGAACCUUUAAACUUUGAUGUGUGAUAUUUGUUUGUUUUUAAUACAGACUCAGCUUGUCUUCCUGAGAGACUGCUGAUUUAUCUUUCCCCACCAGUCAACCCAGAUUGCUUUUCCCCACGCCCACUGAGUGUUAGGGUCAGUCUUUUUGUAAACUCUUACUGAUUCGGAAGGCCAAGGUAUCUUGGGUUAAAUGCAUUUCUAUGACUGGCACUAAGGCUGAAUUCUUUUUUCCCUUAUUGCUCAUUUCUGUUGAGGUUCAUCGUUUUUUCUUACAGGUUUGUAAAACAAAGAUCUUUAUGUAUCAAGGAUACCAACUCUUUGUCAUGUUGCUUUAGUUUUUUGUAAUCAGUUUGUCUUUUGUUUUCCUUUGUGUCUGACAGAAUAACUUAGAGAUGCAAAUGUCACUUUUUUCUUUUGAUUCCACUCUUAGCUUGCAGCUAGUACUCACCCAGAUUCUAAUGCUUACCUUUUUUGACAUUUGAAUGUUAAGUCCAUCUGGAACUUAUUUUGAUGUAGAGAUUGAGCUUAGCUGUCUCUACAAUCAUUAAUCAGUUUUCUGAUUAAUUAGUAAUGGAAUUGGAGUUUCAAAUGUGUUUUCUGUACCAAGCAUUAUGAAUGAUGUUUGGUAAGGCUUAACUAAGACCAUUUGUAAUGCAUUUACCUACGAAGCAUAAGAGCUCACCUGGAAAGGUGAUUAUUAUUAGUUCCAUGGAAAAAUGCUCAGAUAUUUCACAUAAUUAAAUUACCUAUGAACUCUUGAAACAAAACUUGUUGCAACGUUGCACCUGCAUUCUUAGAUGGUGGUUGUACUUCACUGAAGCCCUUUAGAGGCAGAGAUGUUCUAGAUGGUGGGGUG